AUGAAGCUGGAAUCGCUAGUAAUCGCGGAUCAGAAUGCCGCGGUGAAUACGUUCCCGGGUCUUGUACACACCGCCCGUCACACCAUGGGAGUCGGAAAUGCCCGAAGUCUGUGACCCAACCUUAGGGAGGGAGCAGCCGAAGGCAGGUCGGAUGACUGGGGUGAAGUCGUAACAAGGUAAC
rnacentral:rRNA from 1 species